ACCGGUCUUCACGCAUUGUUUUCGCCCUCCGAAACGCGUUUUUUACAGAAAUGAUCGAGAAUGGUCACCAGCAGAUCUCAGUCAGUACAAAGUUUGUCUCUAAUGGUGUUAAGUGUCUUUUAAAGUCAUUUUAAGCAAACGGUGCAUGAAUUCUGUCAGUGCAGAAAUCAAUUCGGACAUUCGGACAAUCCAGCUCCACUUUCCAUCUUAUUUUUUACACUCAGAUUUUAUUCAACCCUUUCUUAACUCAUCGAUAUGAAGAUAUUAAUGGUUUUAUUAUUAUUAUUACUACACAUACACGGUGCGUCUGGUGCUGACACAGAUGCAAUAGAAUCAGUAUCAGUGAUGGAGGGAGAUUCUGUCACUUUACAUACUGGUGAAACACAGACAGAAGAUCUGAAAGUGUGGACCUUUGGACCUGAAAAUACUGUCAUAGCUAUGAACUCUGAUGUUAAGAUAUCUAGAGACAGAUUUCUGGUGAACCAAUCAACUGGAUCGCUUACCAUCAAGAACAUCACAACUAAUUUUUCUGGAAUAUAUAAAUUAAAUGUUGUCAGGAAGAGCACAUACAAGACAUUUAAUGUUACUGUCUAUGCUCGUCUGUCUGUUCCUGUCAUCAGC